AAAUCGGAAUUAUCUGCUGUGAUAAGACAAAAAUUUUAUUUUCUGGCUUAACGUUUAGCAAAACCAGUCUACUUCUAAGAUACUGGCAACAACCAUAACUAUAGUGAAGCAUGCAAUGCAAAGAUGCCACGCAAAUCUCUCUAGACUGCACACAACUUCAGAUAGUAUAAGCUUCACCUUUAGAGGCUCAGUGGACAAACCUGACAAUUACAGAAUCUACGAAGAAGAAUGUCAGAAACAAGCCAAAACCAGAUGUUCAGACUUAAGAUAGCAGACAGUGGUGACUCAAUGGUUAAGGAUUUGGGUUACUGAGCAGAAGGUCUAAGGCUGAAGCCCCAGCACUGCCAGGAUACUGUACAGCAGUGAUGAUCAUGGAUGUUCCCUCUUCAGAUCUUCUAGUGGUCAAUUUCCAUGAGGGUCGCUGUGUGAACGCAAACCAGUUCAUAGCAUUCCCAAUAAAAAGUUAACUUUUCUAUAUAAUCAGUCACAUCACUUGGGACAUUAAACCUCCACAUCUACAGAGGUCCUCCACUGAACAUUAACUCACCAAUCAAAUGCUGCUUGUUUAUAAAACAAAAUGCUGGUCCAUGUGAUUUCUUUGCCUUUUUUUAAACACUGUUGUAUUACUGAACUUUUUUUUCACUGCUUUGAUGCCUUGUUUAACUGUUUCUCAAUUUGAUAUUUGGGCUAUUCAUGGAAUUACCAUUGUGACAUGAUAGAUAUUUCACUGCAUGCAAAAUGCAAAAUGGAGAAAGCAAUGAUUAUAUGAUUAUAUCAUCCUGUUCUAUAUAAUCCAGCUGUGAAAAAAUAUUAAAUCAACAUUAACAACUGGAUAGUAUCUGUACAAACAAAUUGUAUAUUUUUCCAUUGAUGUAUGAGUAGUGUGAUUGCAGCCUUAGGCUUUGAUUACUAAAUGAUUAAAAUGUUCAGCAUUAAAGAAAAA